GACGAACGCUGGCGGCGCGCCUAACACAUGCAAGUCGAACGGAGCAUACGGGAGGAAGUUUUCGGAUGGAAUCCGGUAUUGCUUAGUGGCGGACGGGUGAGUAACACGUGAGCAACCUGCCUAUCAGAGGGGGAUAACGAUUGGAAACGAUCGCUAAUACCGCAUAACGCAGCGAGGAGGCAUCUUCUUGCUGCCAAAGAUUUAUCGCUGAUAGAUGGGCUCGCGUCCGAUUAGAUAGUUGGUGAGGUAACGGCCCACCAAGUCGACGAUCGGUAGCCGGACUGAGAGGUCGAACGGCCACAUUGGGACUGAGACACGGCCCAGACUCCUACGGGAGGCAGCAGUGGGGGAUAUUGCACAAUGGGGGAAACCCUGAUGCAGCGACGCCGCGUGAGGGAAGACGGUCCUCUGGAUUGGUAAACCUCUGUCUUCGGGGACGAAACGAGACGGUACCCGAGGAGGAAGCCACGGCUAACUACGUGCCAGCAGCCGC
rnacentral:rRNA from 1 species